AGAAAAAGCAGGAAAUAAAACAAGACAACACUAUUAACAUAACAUCAGUACGGGAAAGGAGGCAAGGGAAAUAAAGUGAAAAAAAGAUCACGCUGAUGGGAAGAAACCAGAAAGCCUCCCAUCUCAGGAAGUUGCUUAGUUUUAAUUUGCUCAGAGGAAAGGCUGGGUUAGGCUAAUGCAUCUUGGUGAGGGCAAAGCCCAAACAAGCAUGGACAGGAAUGAACUGUGAGAAAAGGCUUAAUCACCCGCAGCAGCAAUGAGGACUUGUGACUAUCUUCAGGCAUCCAUCAGGAACUGCAAUGUUAAAUUCUAAGUUGCUCAGUAAGAAUCCACAGCUCACUAAGACAAGGAGUAUUUAUAGAAGACUCUGAGAGAAUAUGCAGCCUGCCUUUGCUUUUGUGAGACAAUCCAAAUCCAUUCUUUUAACUUGCAUCUAUUGCCACAGGACUGUUCAUUCAGGUUCUGUUAUUUUGAUUCAUG
rnacentral:lncRNA from 1 species